GACGAACGCUGGCGGCGUGCUUAACACAUGCAAGUCGAGCGGUAAGGCUCCUUCGGGAGUCCACGAGCGGCGAACGGGUGAGUAACACGUGAGUAAUCUGCCCUUCACUUCGGGAUAACCACCGGAAACGGUGGCUAAUACCGAAUACGACCAGUCUUCGCAUGAGGUGCUGGUGGAAAGUCUUUUCGGUGAAGGAUGUGCUCGCGGCCUAUCAGCUUGUUGGUGGGGUAAUGGCCUACCAAGGCUUCGACGGGUAGCCGGCCUGAGAGGGUGACCGGCCACACUGGGACUGAGACACGGCCCAGACUCCUACGGGAGGCAGCAGUGGGGAAUAUUGGACAAUGGGCGAAAGCCUGAUCCAGCAACGCCGCGUGAGGGAUGACGGCCUUCGGGUUGUAAACCUCGUUCAGUACCGACGAAGCGCCCUGUCGGGUGGUGACGGUAGGUACAGAAGAAGGACCGGCCAACUACGUG
rnacentral:rRNA from 1 species